UCCCAGGUGGCUUAGUGGUAAAGAAUCUGCCUGCCAAUGCAGAAGAUGUGGGUUCCACCCCUGGCUUGGGAA
rnacentral:tRNA from 1 species